UUAAGAAUUUUUUUUAUUAAUAUUUUAUUUUCUUCCUUCCUCGUAUUUCAAUUUUCUUUUUAGUGGAUGAGAUGGUUACCAUUCUUUAUGGCUGCUGACUUUAAACCUUUAGGAGUUGGUAAACAUUUUUGGAUAUUUUCAAAUGAUUAUCAAUACCUGAUUAAUAUUACAGACCAUGAGGAUGGGAAAUUUGUAGCCUUAGAGUCAGAUCAGUUCUUGAGACCGAGAAUUGAAUUGAUUUUUAGUGAGCCAGAUUUGGAUGAAAACACAUCGAAAUUGGAAAUUCGUAUGAGUUUUCAAAGGACAUCGAUUUUAUUUCAAAACACAAUUGGAAGGGUGUAUCGAAAGCUUUUGGAACCAAAAUUGACAGAGUCUUUGGAAAAACUUUUUGCAAUACUUAAUCAAAUGCCGAAAACUAAAUGUUGCUGCUCUGAAUUGUCUUGAUAAUUUGUAAUGUAAAUGUAAAAACAUAUAAGAAAAUAUAUUACUAAGGC